rnacentral:rRNA from 1 species
CGGAGGGUGCAAGCGUUAUCCGGAUUCACUGGGUUUAAAGGGUGCGUAGGUGGGUUGGUAAGUCAGUGGUGAAAUCCCCGAGCUUAACUUGGGAACUGCCAUUGAUACUAUCAAUCUUGAAUACUGUGGAGGUCAGCGGAAUAUGUCAUGUAGCGGUGAAAUGCUUAGAUAUGACAUAGAACACCAAUUGCGAAGGCAGCUGGCUACACAAAUAUUGACACUGAGGCACGAGAGCGUGGGGAUCAAACAGGAUUAGAUACCCUGGUAGUCCACGCCCUAAACUAUGGAUACUCGACAUACGCGAUACACUGUGUGUGUCUGAGCGAAAGCAUUAAGUAUCCCACCUGGGAAGUACGAUCGCAAGAUUG